rnacentral:rRNA from 1 species
AGAUUGAACGCUGGCGGCAGGCCUAACACAUGCAAGUCGAGCGGCAGCACGGGUACUUGUACCUGGUGGCGAGCGGCGGACGGGUGAGUAAUGCCUAGGAAUCUGCCUGGUAGUGGGGGAUAACGCUCGGAAACGGACGCUAAUACCGCAUACGUCCUACGGGAGAAAGCAGGGGACCUUCGGGCCUUGCGCUAUCAGAUGAGCCUAGGUCGGAUUAGCUAGUUGGUGAGGUAAUGGCUCACCAAGGCGACGAUCCGUAACUGGUCUGAGAGGAUGAUCAGUCACACUGGAACUGAGACACGGUCCAGACUCCUACGGGAGCAGCAGUGGGAAUAUUGGACAAUGGGCGAAAGCCUGAUCCAGCCAUGCCGCGUGUGUGAAGAAGGUCUUCGGAUUGUAAAGCACUUUAAGUGGAGAAGGCAGUUACUAAUACGUAUCUGUUUUGACGUUACGACAGAAUAAGCACCGGUCUAACUCUGUGCUAG